rnacentral:rRNA from 1 species
AGACGGGACCCGCACAAGCGGUGGAUGAUGUGGAUUAAUUCGAUGCAACGCGAAAACCUUACCUACCCUUGACAUGUCCGGAAUCCCGAAGAGAUUUGAGAGUGCUCGCAAGAGAACCGGAACACAGGUGCUGCAUGGCUGUCGUCAGCUCGUGUCGUGAGAUGUUGGGUUAAGUCCCGCAACGAGCGCAACCCUUGUCAUUAGUUGCCAUCAUUUGGUUGGGCACUCUAAUGAGACUGCCGGUGACAAACCGGAGGAAGGUGGGGAUGACGUCAAGUCCUCAUGGCCCUUAUGGGUAGGGCUUCACACGUCAUACAAUGGUCGGUACAGAGGGUUGCCAACCCGCGAGGGGGAGCUAAUCCCACAAAGCCGAUCGUAGUCCGGAUCGCAGUCUGCAACUCGACUGCGUGAAGUCGGAAUCGCUAGUAAUCGUGGAUCAGCAUGUCACGGUGAAUACGUUCCCGGGUCUU